rnacentral:rRNA from 1 species
GACGAACGCUGGCGGCGUGCUUAACACAUGCAAGUCGAACGGAAAGGCCCUGCUUUUGUGGGGUGCUCGAGUGGCGAACGGGUGAGUAACACGUGAGUAACCUGCCCUUGACUUUGGGAUAACUUCAGGAAACUGGGGCUAAUACCGGAUAGGAGCUCCUGCUGCAUGGUGGGGGUUGGAAAGUUUCGGCGGUUGGGGAUGGACUCGCGGCUUAUCAGCUUGUUGGUGGGGUAGUGGCCUACCAAGGCUUUGACGGGUAGCCGGCCUGAGAGGGUGACCGGCAACAUUGGGACUGAGAUACGGCCAAGACUCCUACGGGAGGAAGCAGUGGGGAAUAUUGCACAAUGGGCGGAAGCCGGAUGCAGCAACGCCGCGUGCGGGAUGACGGCCUUCGGGUGGUAACCCGCUUUGGCCUGUGACGAAGCGUGAGUGACGGUAAUGGGUAAAGAAGCACCGGCUAACUACGUG